AUACGUAGGGUGCAAGCGUUAAUCGGAAUUACUGGGCGUAAAGCGUGCGCAGGCGGUUUUGUAAGUCUGUCGUGAAAGCCCCGGGCUCAACCUGGGAAUUGCGAUGGAGACUGCAAGGCUUGAAUCUGGCAGAGGGGGGUAGAAUUCCACGUGUAGCAGUGAAAUGCGUAGAGAUGUGGAGGAACACCGAUGGCGAAGGCAGCCCCCUGGGUCAAGAUUGACGCUCAUGCACGAAAGCGUGGGGAGCAAACAGGAUUAGAUACCCUGGUAGUCCGCGCCCUAAACGAUGUCUACUAGUUGUCGGGUUUUAAUUAACUUGGUAACGCAGCUAACGCGUGAAGUAGACCGCCUGGGGAGUACGGUCGCAAGAUUAAA
rnacentral:rRNA from 1 species